AACGCAUCUUGCGCUCCUUGGUAUUCCGAGGAGCAUGCCUGUUUGAGUGUCAUCAAGUUCUCAACCACCAUGUUUUUGUGUGUGGCUUGGAUUUGGGGGUAUCUGUUGUGCAGGCUUUAUCAAGUCAGCUCCCCUGAAAAGCAUUAGUGGUAUCUGAGCAAAAACUACUACUAGGUGUGAUAACUAUCUAUGCCUUGGUAUAUAAUGCAUGAACAGACUACACUGCUUGCAAACUUUGAAAUUGACCAAUUUGACCUCAAAUCAGGUAGGACUACCCGCUGAACUUAA
rnacentral:misc_RNA from 1 species